rnacentral:rRNA from 1 species
UACGUAGGGACCAAGCGUUGUUCGGAUUUACUGGGCGUAAAGAGCUCGUAGGCGGUCUGUCGCGUCGGCUGUGAAAACCCGAGGCUCAACCUCGGGCCUGCAGUCGAUACGGGCAAACUGGAGUGUUGCAGGGGAGACUGGAAUUCCUGGUGUAGCGGUGAAAUGCGCAGAUAUCAGGAAGAACACCCGUGGCGAAGGCGGCUCUCUGGGACGGUACUGACGCUGAGGAGCGAAAGCAUGGGGAGCGAACAGG